UACGUAGGGGGCAAGCGUUGUCCGGAAUCAUUGGGCGUAAAGCGCGUGUAGGCGGUUCGAUAAGUCUGCUGUGAAAGUCCAGGGCUCAACCCUGGGAUGCCGGUGGAUACUGUCGAGCUAGAGUACGGAAGAGGCGAGUGGAAUUCCCGGUGUAGCGGUGAAAUGCGCAGAUAUCGGGAGGAACACCAAUGGCGAAGGCAGCUCGCUGGGACGGUACUGACGCUGAGGCGCGAAAGCGUGGGGAGCAAACAGG
rnacentral:rRNA from 1 species